rnacentral:rRNA from 1 species
UAAUACGUAGGGUGCGAGCGUUGUCCGGAAUUACUGGGCGUAAAGAGCUCGUAGGUGGUUUGUCGCGUCGUCUGUGAAAUUCCGGGGCUUAACUCCGGGCGUGCAGGCGAUACGGGCAUAACUUGAGUACUGUAGGGGAAACUGGAAUUCCUGGUGUAGCGGUGAAAUGCGCAGAUAUCAGGAGGAACACCGGUGGCGAAGGCGGGUCUCUGGGCAGUAACUGACGCUGAGGAGCGAAAGCAUGGGUAGCGAACAGGAUUAGAUACCCUGGUAGUCCAUGCCGUAAACGGUGGGCGCUAGGUGUAGGGGUCUUCCACGACUUCUGUGCCGUAGCUAACGCAUUAAGCGCCCCGCCUGGGGAGUACGGCCGCAAGGCUAAAACUCAAAGGAAUUGACGGGGGCCCGCACAAGCGGCGGAGCAUGUGGAUUAAUUCGAUGCAACGCGAAGAACCUUACCUGGGCUUGACAUAUACGGGACCGGGCCAGAGAUGGUCCUUCCCUUGUGGCUCGUAUACAGGUGGUGCAUGGUUGUCGUCAGCUCGUGUCGUGAGAUGUUGGGUUAAGUCCCGCAACGAGCGCAACCCUUGUCUUAUGUUGCCAGCACGUAAUGGUGGGGACUCGUGAGAAACUGCCGGGGUCAACUCGGAGGAAGGUGGGGAUGACGUCAAAUCAUCAUGCCCCUUAUGUCCAGGGCUUCACACAUGCUACAAUGGUCGGUACAGUGGGUUGCGAUGCCGUGAGGUGGAGCUAAUCCCUGAAAGCCGGUCUCAGUUCGGAUCGGGGUCUGCAACUCGACCCCGUGAAGUCGGAGUCGCUAGUAAUCGCAGAUCAGCAACGCUGCGGUGAAUACGUUCCCGGGCCUUGCACACACCGCCCGU